rnacentral:lncRNA from 1 species
CAACUACAAUGAUGGAGAGAAAACUGUAUAGCUGAAAGAAGAAAAACCCUCCUAGUUGAAGAGGGGGGUGAGGAAAAAAACCUGGACCAUGGUCCACAUGCUUGACUGAAUGAUGGGCUCCUUUCAACCAGAGUGUGUCUCUUGCUUGUUGGACCUUACUGAGGCCAUUGGAAAGACACUCCCAACAUCCUGACAUUUUUCUACAAAUCCCCUAAUGUUCCAGCCAUGGUAGGUACAUGGCCUGAGCUCCAGGGAUGGUGGGAGACAGUUUAAUCAUCUGCUUUGCUGCUGCUCUGUUCACCAACCUGUGAGUGGGGAAUGGGGGAAGUAGUGCCAGCUUAUGCCCCCCUCCUUAGUUCAGCUAAUUUCUUUUGUGGAUCUAUUAAAAAUUUCCAUCUCUGAUUCUAAUUUCUUGGUUAGGAUAUUUUCUGGGUGCAAGUAACACAGAUCCAACUGUAACUAGCUUAAGCAAAAAAGGGAAAUAGGGGCUAGGUGCAGUGGCUCACACCUGUAAUCCCAACACUUUCAAAGGCUGAGGUAGGUGGAUCACUUGAGGUCAGGAGUUUGAGAGUAGCCUGGCCACCAUGGUGAAAUCCUGUCUCUACUAAAAAUACAACAAUUAGCUGGGCGUGGUGGCACAUGCCUGUAGUCCCAGCUACUCGGGAGGCUGAGGCAGGAGAAUCGCUUGAACUUCAGAGGGGGAGGUUGUAGUGAGCCGAG